AACACAAACAUUCAUCCAAUUCCCUCAAAUUUUGUGCUCUGGAAUGCAUCACACCAAAACCCCAUAUGAAUUUGGAAGAACUAUUAUCCCAAAGGGAAAUGUUCUGGAUCUUUAAGUUGAAAACCCUUUCCCCUCAAGGACUUAACGAGUCACUUAAUUUUAGCUGUUUCCUUUAAGUUUCUGAUUACUCUUUAUAAACCUGUGGAUGACCCUUCAGAAUUACUCGCAGUGUGAAUUUACUUCUAGCAGAGUCACUUUUUGUAUUAGCUACUUGGCAUGAUAUAAGAGUCUAGAGUUGCUGAAUUUAUCAACUCCUGAGGAAGGGGAUUGCUUUCCCCGAAACAGGGUACAAAAAUACCCGGGCACCCCUGUUGAAUGCCAUUGGGACUUUUCUUUGAAGACUUAUUUUGAGAAGCAGUGCUCCAUUUUUCACUGGACUUGAGUUGGAUCUUUUCCAUGAAGAUUGUUUUGAGAGUGACGCUUCAUCUUCAUUAUUGUCUUCAGCUUACAUAUAGCCUCAUGACUCUAUGCUUACUUUGUUUAUAUGACUUUUUGCAUUGAAUGUAUCCCUGAAGCCUAUACACAGUGGAAUCCCUAUCCAAACCCAGAACGGUUACGUUUGAGAGCGGUUGCUCCUUUUGAUUUCUGUGUACCACUGAAUUGAGCUUUGUACUGGGGAUUUUGGUAAAUAGAAUAUUAUAUGUUUUCUUGAUAAUACACUUUGACAUUACGCA